rnacentral:rRNA from 1 species
UCUUUAGUAAUUGCGAAUGAACAAGGAUAUGCUUAGCUUGACAAAUGGAGCUAUUGGCUUUGAAUUGUAUUGUGGAAAUGUAUUACCAACAGAGGUGCAGGUGCCAGCCUAUUGAAAUAAAGCGUCAAUGAGGGUGAGAAUCCUGUUUGUCAUGUGCAGCCCUUUGUGCACGGUGUAUAUUUGCUGAGUCACACUCCUUGGCAUUGGAAUGCGGGUGGUAAGUUUCAUGUAAAGGUAAACAUGCAAUUGAGACUGAUAGCACACAAGUACCAUGAGGGAAAUAUGAAAAGGACUUUGAAAAAGAAUUAAAUGAUUUGUAUUUGCUGAACACAAAGUAAACAGACUUGAUUUGCUUGGUGGGAGUGUUGCACUUGCUUGACAAGAGCUUUGGGCUGUGGGUGUAAUGAUUCUUUCUUUGCAUGCCAGUUUCUAUUUGUACAUCUGAUUACCUUUGCACAUGAAUGAUAAGUCUCCUGUGGGGGGUGGAUUGCAUGUGCAUGUAAUGAUUUGUGUUUUGAUAAAUGUGUCUGGUGUAUGUGUGUGUUCCUGUGCUUGGGGAUGCUUCCUUCCUUGGACUUACAAGCCCUGACACACACAUGCUGGCAAAAUGCUUCUGCUUGACCCGUCUUGAAACACGGACCAAGGAGUCUAACAGAUGUGCACAGUUUGAAGGUGGUAUACCUUUGUGUGCAAUGAAAGUGUCACUGGGAUAUGUGCACCAGCACCUUAAUUGGACAGAGGUUUGAGUUAGCAUAUCUAUCCUGGUGAACUAUGCCUGAACAGAAUGAUUUCAGAGGAAACU